rnacentral:rRNA from 1 species
UACGUAGGGGGCAAGCGUUGUCCGGAAUCAUUGGGCGUAAAGAGCGUGUAGGCGGCUCGAUAAGUCUGCUGUGAAAGUCCAGGGCUCAGCCCUGGAAGGCCGGUGGAAACUGUCGGGCUAGAGUCCGGAAGAGGCGAGUGGAAUUCCCGGUGUAGCGGUGAAAUGCGCAGAUAUCGGGAGGAACACCAAUGGCGAAGGCAGCUCGCUGGGACGGUACUGACGCUGAGACGCGAAAGCGUGGGGAGCAAACAGG